UGUAUAUAUACCUAUAGAUAAACAUACACAAUUUUAUUAAAUUGUAAUCAUACUGUGCAUACUUUUCUGUAGCCUGACUUUCCCCCGACUAAUUAAUAUAACAGCUUUCCCUAAUAUCUCAUCCAGCAUCUUUUUGUCCACAAAAGAAAUCCAUAGCGUAUUUUUUAAUGGCUGCAGAAUUUGACCAUAAUUCCGUUAUUGCACUUUGAUUUUAAAAGGCAUCAGUUUUUCGCUAUUAUAUAUAAAGCUGGCAUCAACAUCUUUGUAACUAAAUCUUAAUUAUUUCCUUAGGAUAGAAGUGGAAUUACUGGGCAAAGGGCAUUCAGAUUUGGGAGAAGUAGCCCCAGAAAUAAAAGCAUCAGAGAGACGAACAGCUGUGGCCAUUGCAG
rnacentral:lncRNA from 10 species